rnacentral:rRNA from 1 species
CGGCGGACGGGUGAGUAACACGUGGAUAACCUACCUAUAAGACUGGGAUAACUUCGGGAAACCGUAGCUAAUACCGGAUAAUAUAUUGAACCGCAUGGUUCAAUAGUGAAAGACGGUUUUGCUGUCACUUAUAGAUGGAUCCGCGCCGCAUUAGCUAGUUGGUAAGGUAACGGCUUACCAAGGCAACGAUGCGUAGCCGACCUGAGAGGGUGAUCGGCCACACUGGAACUGAGACACGGUCCAG